UACGUAGGGCGCGAGCGUUGUCCGAAGUUACUGGGCGUAAAGCGCGCGUAGGCGGGCCAUUAAGUGAGAGGUGAAAUUCCAGGGCUCAACCCCGGAACUGCCUCUCAUACUGUUGGUCUUGAGUGAGGUAGAGAGAAGUGGAAUGGCUGGUGUAGCGGUGAAAUGCGUAGAUAUCAGUCGGAACACCGGUGGCGAAGGCGGCUUCUUGGGCCUUUACUGACGCUGAGGCGCGAAAGCCAGGGGAGCGAACGGG
rnacentral:rRNA from 1 species